rnacentral:rRNA from 1 species
UACGAAGGACCCGAGCGUUAUCCGGAUUUAUUGGGUUUAAAGGGUGCGUAGGCGGACACGCAAGUCAGUGGUGAAAUCUCCCAGCUUAACUGGGAAACUGCCAUUGAAACUAUGUGUCUUGAGUACAUUUGAGGCGGGCGGAAUGUGUCAUGUAGAGGUGAAAUUCUUAGAUAUGACACAGAACACCAAUUGCGAAGGCAGCUCGCUAAACUGUAACUGACGCUGAGGCACGAAAGCGUGGGGAUCAAACAGG